rnacentral:rRNA from 1 species
UGAGGAAUAUUGGUCAAUGGGCGAGAGCCUGAACCGGCCAAGUCGCGUGAAGGAUGACUGUCUUAUGGAUUGUAAACUUCUUUUAUACGGGAAUAACAAGAGUCACGUGUGACUCCCUGGUUGUACCGUAUGAAUAAGCAUCGGCUAACUCCGUGCCAGCAGCCGCGGUAAUACGGAGGAUGCGAGCGUUAUCCGGAUUUAUUGGGUUUAAAGGGUGCGUAANNGGCCUGUUAAGUCAUCGGUGAAAUCUUGGAGCUUAACUCCUAAAUUGCCGUUGAUACUGGCGGGCUUGAGUGUAGAUGAGGUAGGCGGAAUGCGUGGUGUAGCGGUGGAAUGCAUAGAUAUCACGCAGAACUCCGAUUGCGAAGGCAGCUUACUAAGGUACAACUGACGCUGAAGCACGAAAGCGUGGGUAUCAAACAGGAUUAGAUACCCUGGUAGUCCACGCAGUAUGNCGAUGAUAACUGGGCGUAUGCGAUAUACAGUAUGCUCCUAAGCGAAAGCGUUUAAGUUAUCCACCUGGGGAGUACGCCGGCAACGGUG